ACAACCUCCCCUCCUCGUUCCGAUAUAGUGUGUACUUUCACAAUUCGUAGAAUUUUACAUGUAUAGAUAUAGAUAUAUAUAUUUGUUUGUUCGGUGGGUUCCACAAUUCGUAGAUUGACCGAUCUGGUAGUCAAGAAGAGUGGCAUGGUUACAGUUGUGAGUAACACUAUGGGAAAGGGAGCCCUAAAUUGAAUAGGAGGAGGUAGGUCGAAAGGAUAUAAAUUCUUUUGAAUAUUGGUCACCAUGCCAUCGAUAGAGCUCAAAGGAAAAAGCUGAUUUUUGCAGCUGACCCAAUUGAUUGGGACUUAAAAGGCUUUGGUUGGUUGGUCAACAAUCUAGCUCUAAUGUGAUUAGGCAGAUUAGGAUUUGGAAGUUAAAAGGUUUUUUUUUUUCCAGGAGAUCUGUAUUUUGUUAUUUUAUGAAUAGAUGACCAGGCCCACUAAUUGCUAUGGAAAUUUCUGAAUUGCUUGUGAGCUCACCAUUUUGAUGUAGUGGCCAGCGGGAUGGAGUUUGUGUUGGGUGUAAUGCGGUUUUAGAAGUUUGAAAUGCUGUGAGACCUGAUUUGAAUUGUUGCAGGUUUGAUUAAUUCUGGUGUUAAGACAGUUUAGUUUUACUGUUUCUCAAACCUUGAAUGUUUCUAGUAGUUUCAACCUUUUGCUUAGAAAAUGGUAAGGUUAAAACAUGGCUCUACUGUUUUGAAAAGCGAGUGCUUAGGCAUGAGGUGACCUUGUAGCGCUUCAUAAGCCUUAAAGUGAGGUGCAGUCAAUUGCAUAUUUAUUUCUUUGCAUAGACCUCAAAGAAUUGUCGGACACGUUGCAAAGAGAGUGUAGUGUGCAACUUAUGAUUUUUAUUUUCUAACUAUGGACACGGAAAAGGAAAAAAGAAGAUCAUUUUAAGCUUAAAGGGCAAUAGCAACUGGUUCAAAAGUAGCACCUUAAACUGCACAUCAACUAGCAGACGACAAAGAGGAAUGGGAAGACUUGGAAGAUAGGGAUUCAGGUGAGGGAGAAGAGCAGGAUGUGAUGGAUAUAAAUCCAACCAUAACGAAGAAGGAUGAUUUGCUUAGUAAUGAGGUUGAUUACUAGGUUCUUAAGAGUAGACAGUGGAGCAAUAUUGGAUAUGUAGUCCCUUUGAAAGAUAUCUUACCAGAUGUAGAACUUAUAACAUCAGUUGUUGACAAUGUUCUAAAAGUCACUCGGCGCUAGUCGGGCGGUCAGCCACCUUCGAGCGAUUAAUCGGAUUGAUCGACGAUUAAUCGGUGCAUAUUAAUUAGUAAUCGGCGAUUAAUCGUUAAUCGGACCUAAUCAGAUAGGCCCCGCCAGCUAUUAAUCGGUGAUUAAUCGCCGAUUAAUUCCUUGUUUUAGAACACUGGUUGUUCAUGGAUGUUACGUGAUUUCUUAGUAAUUGGAGAUUUGGAAUAUUAAAUGUUAUGUUAAAUAAUUUUUGGAAUUCUUAAUAUAGCUGCUUCCGGUGAAAAUGCUAUUUAUAUUAUUGAGGGGCACACCUUAAUGAUAGGCUUCGGGGGACCUUGUCCCUCAAUGCGCUGCGCUGCAUGGAACGACAAAAUCCACAUACGAUUAGUAUGUAAUGUUAACUUUUGCAUCUAACAGGGACGGAGCCAUCAAUAAGGGUGGGGGUGCCACAGCCACCUCAACCCUUGCUAGAACUCUAUAUAUGGUGGAACGUUCCUGAAAUAUAUAAUGGGAAAAUUACCUCUCUAAGGAUAGAAAAGUGCAUGUUAAUUCCCAUUAAGGAUGAACUCAGCUUUUAUUUACCUCGAAGGACGAUCACAUUAUGAAGAUUAUCCUUUUACCCUUCAAUAAAUACAAUUUCAUACUUUAUUAUAUUUUACUAUUAUAGGGUAGGGUACCCUAGAGUUUAGGCACUUUCAUAGGGUUUUAGGGUGCACUAUCCUAUUAUAGGGAUUUAGUGGUUUAGGCACUUUCAUAGAGUACCCUUGGAUUUAGGUUUAGGCACUUUCAUAGGGUUUAGGGUUUUAGGCACUUUCAUAGGGUAUCCUAGGGUUUAGGUGUAGGCACGUUUUAGUGGUUUAGACACUUUUAUAGGGGCAAUUUUGAAAAAAUAUUCCAGAAAUACUUAACAGUGCGUUUCCGUUUUUUUCUGGACCUAUACGUAAAAACCCCAUAUAUAAUUAAGUAAAAGAACUGAUUUGUCCAACAAAAAACCAUUUAUUCCAGCACUUUAUUUUUAGCAUGUCAUGCUCAUGUGAAAGGCUAAAAGAAAACGUAAAAGUUUGAAAAGUUUAAAGGGCCUUAAUAUGAUAUAAAUUAUGUAUGCAGGAUAUUAGAACCGCCUUAGAGGAUAUAUUUUGCUAAGAAUGAAUAGAAAGCGGUUUGAUUUUUCUCGUUUUGUUCUUUCAUUUUGAUGUAAAUUUCAUGCUUGUACUUCAAAUGAUGUGGAAUGAAAACUUGUAUUCUACCAAUCAUGUUAAUACAUGAAAUUUUAGUUUGUAGGUUUUGGCACCCCUUAUAUAUAGAUACUGGCUCCGUGCCUCCGUCCCUGGCACCUAACUGCCAUUAUUUAACUGCUCUGUUUUUCCAUUUUCUGAGAUUAGCGUCAUUGUAUUUUGUAUCCCGGUUUCAGAAUAAAUUAUGCAACCCAUGGAUACUGAACUCAAAACAAUAAGCCAACCAACAACUUUUGUUUUUAAAUAUAGAGCAUCGUCAGUUAUUUUAUCUAGUUCUCGCUGUUGUGUCUGUUGUUGACAGUGAGAAAUCUACUGAUUACAUUCUUAAAUUGGAUAUAAUGAUCCUUUAAACCCUUUAACAAGACCAGCGAACAUGAAAAUUGCCAAUUAUUCCUUCGUUAAUAUUAAGUGAGGCGUUUCAAAAAAAAUUUGAGAGGGACUGCAAAAAUGGAGAAGAAACUGCAUCACUUUUUGCUGCAAAGUUACCACCUUUUAAUUAGA